rnacentral:snoRNA from 1 species
CCCAGCUGUAGGUAACUGCUGAGGCUGCCUUGUACCUAGGCAAGUGUUACACUGCUGGGAGAAAAGCAGCCAGUAAUUGGUGAGCACGCUAGACUUGGUUGAUGCCAACCUUGUGUUAACUAU